rnacentral:rRNA from 1 species
ACAGAGGCCUCGAGCGUUAAUCGGAGUCACUGGGCUUAAAGGGUGCGUAGGCGGCCUCGCAAGUGCUUUGUGAAAUCCCACGGCUCAACCGUGGAAUCGCUCGGCAGACUGCGGGGCUUGAGGUCGGUAGGGGUCGCCGGAACUCUAGGUGGAGCGGUGAAAUGCGUAGAUAUCUAGAGGAACGCCAAAGGUGAAGACAGGCGACUGGGCCGAUUCUGACGCUGAGGCACGAAAGCGUGGGGAGCGAACGGGA